GUCUAUGGCCAUACCACCCUGAACACACCCGAUGUCAUCUAAUCUCAGAAUCUAAGCAGGGUUGGACCUGGUUAGUACUUAGAUGGGAGAAAGGACUGUCAGAAAUAGUGAAGCAUCAGGGCAACAGGCC
ensembl:rRNA 5S_rRNA 5S ribosomal RNA